UCCAUCCUUUGCCAUUAGGGAUAAAUUGAAAAAAAAAAGUGAUUUUUCCAUGUUCAAGAUGCAACUUUUGUUUGGAUGAAUAUGGAAUAAAUCAAAAUGAAAUCUUACAGAUUCAAGCUCUGUAAUUUUGUUCAAGAUUCCUUAUAUAUUGAAAAUGUGUAUGUGACUUCAGGUGAACUACUAUAGUAAUGUGUAUUUAGAAAGCUCGCGUGCAUCUCUAGAAAAUGAAUACAAGCACUUACAAAGCCUUAAAAUGUCCUAGUUACCAGCAUAUUACUGAACCUGGACAAACUAAAAAUAAUGUAUCAAUGUCACAUAUAAAAACAGAAAAAAAAGUAACCAUUGAUGCCUCCCAAUUAGAGAAAAGUGAAACAAAAAUUAACAAACAUGUCUUUGUUUUGAGUAACAAGCUCAUACUUUUAAUUGUGGUUGCAUUUGUAUUGUUUUUUAGUAUUUACACUAAACAUAAAAUUAAUGAAUAUAAUAAAAUAAAAGACCUUAAUAACAUGUUAAUGAAAAUGAAAUUAAUGUUUGCUUCUUUAUAUGAAAUGGAUGAAAAAGUGGCAAAGGGAAUAAGGCACGUAGAAAACUCUUAUAAUGUUUAUGAGAAUAGCUUUUCAUAUAAUGAAAUGACAGAAUCUCAAACUAAUAUUUAAAAAUGUUAGACAUAUGUUCUAUAUAGCAAAAUAAGUACAUAAUAUUUAUUUUACUGUGAGCUAAUCUAUUUAAUAAGGAAUAUUGUAACUUUACUAUUAAUUUUGCAUCAUUUUUGUUUUAUACUAGUAAACACCUAUUAAAUAAAAACAAGUUCUUGUAUUGACAAGACUGCUUAAAAUA